rnacentral:rRNA from 1 species
UGAAACACGGACCAAGGAGUCUAACAUGUGCGCGAGUCACCGGGCUCGUACGAAACCCAAGGGCGCAACGAAAGUGAGGGAGGCCUCCGGCCGUCCCAGGCAGGAUCCCGCCCCCGCUCGCGGGGCGGGCGCACUGCCGGCCCGUCUCGGCGGCAUCGUCCGCGAGGCGGAGCAAGAGCGCACACGUUGGGACCCGAAAGAUGGUGAACUAUGCCUGAGCAGGACGAAGUCAGAGGAAACUCUGAUGGAGGUCCGUAGCGAUUCUGACGUGCAAAUCGAUCGUCAGACUUGGGUAUAGGGGCGAAAGACUAAUCGAACCAUCUAGUAGCUGGUUCCCUCCGAAGUUUCCCUCAGGAUAGCUGGCACUCGGAGAGCAGUUUGAUCCGGUAAAGCGAAUGAUUAGAGGCCUUGGGGUUUGAGUGACCUUAACCUAUUCUCAAACUUUAAAUGGGUCAGAAGCGCCGCUCGCUCAAGUUCCUGGCUCCGGCCUCGCGCUGGAGCGGCGCGUCGAAUGCGUAGUGCCAAGUGGGCCACUUUUGGUAAGCAGAACUGG